GUCAGAAUGGCCGAGCGGUCUAAGGCGCCAGAGUAUCCCUCUGAGGGCGUGGGUUCGAAUCCCACUUCUGACA